GUUAGCCCACACACGUUGGACUUG
rnacentral:siRNA from 1 species